AUUGAACGCUGGCGGCAGGCCUAACACAUGCAAGUCGAGCGGAUGAAGGGAGCUUGCUCCUGGAUUCAGCGGCGGACGGGUGAGUAAUGCCUAGGAAUCUGCCUGGUAGUGGGGGAUAACGUCCGGAAACGGGCGCUAAUACCGCAUACGUCCUGAGGGAGAAAGUGGGGGAUCUUCGGACCUCACGCUAUCAGAUGAGCCUAGGUGGGAUUAGCUAGUUGGUGGGGUAAAGGCCUACCAAGGCGACGAUCCGUAACUGGUCUGAGAGGAUGAUCAGUCACACUGGAACUGAGACACGGUCCAGACGCCUACGGGAGGCAGCAGUGGGGAAUAUUGGACGAUGGGCGAAAGCCUGAUCCAGCCAUGCCGCGUGUGUGAAGAAGGUCUUCGGAUUGUAAAGCACUUUAAGUUGGGAGGAAGGGCAGUAAGUUAAUACCUUGCUGUUUUGACGUUACCAACAGAAUAAGCACCGGCUAACUUCGUG
rnacentral:rRNA from 1 species